AGAGUUUGAUCCUGGCUCAGGAUGAACGCUGGCGGCGUGCUUAACACAUGCAAGUCGAACGGAAAGGCCCUUCGGGGUGCUCGAGUGGCGAACGGGUGAGUAACACUGGGUGAUCUGCCCUGCACUUUGGGAUAAGCCUGGGAAACUGGGGUCUAAUACCGAAUACACCCUGCUGGUCGCAUGGCCUGGUGGGGGAAAGCUUUUGCGGUGUGGGAUGGGCCCGCGGCCUAUCAGCUUGUUGGUGGGGUGAUGGCCUACCAAGGCGACGACGGGUAGCCGGCCUGAGAGGGUGACCGGCCACACUGGGACUGAGAUACGGCCCAGACUCCUACGGGAGGCAGCAGGUGGGGAAUAUUGCACAAUGGGCGCAAGCCUGAUGCAGCGACGCCGCGUGGGGGAUGACGGCCUUCGGGUUGUAAACUCCUUUCGCUCACGACGAAGCGCAAGUGACGGUAGUGAGAGAAGAAGGACCGGCCAACUACGUG
rnacentral:rRNA from 1 species